CCUACGGGAGACAGCAGUGGGGAAUAUUGCACAAUGGGGGAAACCCUGAUGCAGCGACGCCGCGUGAGUGAAGAAGUAUUUCGGUAUGAAAAGCUCUAUCAGCAGGGAAGAAAAUGACGGUACCUGAUUAAGAAGCCCCGGCUAACUACGUGCCAGCAGCCGCGGGAAUACGUAGGGGGCAAGCGUUAUCCGGAUUUACUGGGUGUAAAGGGAGCGUAGACGGCAGCGCAAGUCUGAAGUGAAAUGCCGGGGCUUAACCCCGGAACUGCUUUGGAAACUGUGCAGCUAGAGUGCAGGAGAGGUAAGUGGAAUUCCUAGUGUAGCGGUGAAAUGCGUAGAUAUUAGGAGGAACACCAGUGGCGAAGGCGGCUUACUGGACUGUAACUGACGUUGAGGCUCGAAAGCGUGGGGAGCAAACAGGAUUAGAUACCCCAGUAGUC
rnacentral:rRNA from 1 species